rnacentral:rRNA from 1 species
UAACGGGUCGCUCCAGUGGGGAAUAUUGCACAAUGGAGGAAACUCUGAUGCAGCAACGCCGCGUGGAGGAUGACACUUUUCGGAGCGUAAACUCCUUUUAUAUAGGAAGAAGAUGACGGUACUAUAUGAAUAAGCGCCGGCUAACUCCGUGCCAGCAGCCGCGGUAAUACGGAGGGCGCAAGCGUUACUCGGAAUCACAGGGCGUAAAGAGCGUGUAGGCGGAUUAAAAAGUCAGAAGUGAAAUCCUAUAGCUUAACUAUAGAACUGCUUCUGAAACUCUUAAUCUAGAAUAUGGGAGAGGUAGAUGGAAUUCCUGGUGUAGGGGUAAAAUCCGUAGAGAUCAGAAGGAAUACCGAUUGCGAAGGCGAUCUACUAGAACAUUAUUGACGCUGAGACGCGAAAGCGUGGGGAGCAAACAGGAUUAGAUACCCCUGUAGUC